rnacentral:rRNA from 1 species
UACAGAGGAUGCAAGCGUUAUCCGGAAUGAUUGGGCGUAAAGCGUCUGUAGGUGGCUUUUUAAGUCCGCCGUCAAAUCCCAGGGCUCAACUCUGGACAGGCGGUGGAAACUACCAAGCUGGAGUACGGUAGGGGCAGAGGGAAUUUCCGGUGGAGCGGUGAAAUGCGUAGAGAUCGGAAAGAACACCAGUGGCGAAGGCGGUUGCCUGGAGCUUUGCUGACGCUGAUGCGCGAAAGCGUGGGGAGCGAUCCGG